ACUAGAGCCAAAUCUAUCUCAAAAGUUUAGGUCAUUUUUUUUUUCCUUUUUGAUAAUAUUCAAUGAGAAAUAACACUUUAAAUAAAACUUUUUUCAUGAGGAAGGUACAGUAAUUAUCCAC
ensembl:misc_RNA